rnacentral:rRNA from 1 species
AGCAGCCGCGGUAAUUCCAGCUCCAAUAGCGUAUAUUAAAGUUGUUGCAGUUAAAAAGCUCGUAGUUGAAUUUCGGGAUCAGUACGCUGGUCGUGCCUUUGGUAUGUACUGGUGUCACUGAUUCCUCCCUUCUGAAGAACCGUUAUGCCAUUUAUUUGGUGUGGCGGGGAAUCAGGACUGUUACUUUGAAAAAAUUAGAGUGUUUAAAGCAGGCUCGCGCUUGAAUACAUUAGCAUGGAAUAAUGAAAUAGGACGUUUGAUCUUAUUUUGUUGGUUUCUAGGAUCGACGUAAUGAUUAAUAGGGAUAGUUGGGGGCAUUAGUAUUCAAUUGUCAGAGGUGAAAUUCUUGGAUUUAUUGAAGACUAACUACUGCGAAAGCAUUUGCCAAGGAUGUUUUCAUUAAUCAAGAACGAAAGUUAGGGGAUCGAAGACGAUCAGAUACCGUCGGAG